rnacentral:rRNA from 1 species
UACGUAGGGCGCAAGCGUUGUCCGGAAUUAUUGGGCGUAAAGCGCGCGCAGGCGGUGCAUUAAGUCUGGUGUUUAAGCCCGGGGCUCAACCCCGGAUCGCACCGGAAACUGGUGGACUGGAGUGCAGAAGAGGAAAGCGGAAUUCCACGUGUAGCGGUGAAAUGCGUAGAGAUGUGGAGGAACACCAGUGGCGAAGGCGGCUUUCUGGUCUGUAACUGACGCUGAGGCGCGAAAGCGUGGGGAGCAAACAGG